ACUCAAAUGAAUUGACGGGGGCCCGCACAACCGGUGGAGCAUGUGGUUUAAUUCGAUGGUACGCGAAGAACCUUACCUGGGCUUGACAUGCUGGUAGUACAGACCCGAAAGGGAAAGGAUCCCGACUUUGUCGGGAAGCCAGCACAGGUGGUGCAUGGCUGUCGUCAGCUCGUGCCGUGAGGUGUUGGGUUAAGUCCCGGAACGAGCGCAACCCUUGCCUGCAGUUACUCGCCUUUAUAGGCAGCACUCUGCAGGGACUGCCGUGGUUAACACGGAGGAAGGUGGGGAUGACGUCAAGUCAUCACGCCCCUUAUGUCCAGGGCUACACACGUGCUACAAUGGCCGAUACAGAGGGAUGCAAAGCCGUGAGGUGGAGCAAAUCUCAAAAAGUUGGCCCCAGUUCAGAUUGCAGGCUGCAAUCCGCCUGCAUGAAGCUGGAAUCGGUAGUAAUCGCGGAUCAGCCACGCCGCGGUGAAUACGUUCUCGGGCCUUGUACACACCGCCCGU
rnacentral:rRNA from 1 species